UGCGCAUGAGGAGGAUCAUUACCGAGUGCGGGCCCUCGCGGCCCAACCUCCCACCCGUGUCUCUCUCUACCUGUUGCUUUGGCGGGCCCACCGGGGCCACCCGGUCGCCGGGGGACGUCCGUCUCCGGGCCCGCGCCCGCCGAAGCGCCCUGUGAACCCUGAUGAAGAUGGGCUGUCUGAGUCGCAUGAAAAUUGUCAAAACUUUCAACAAUGGAUCUCUUGGUUCCGGCAUCGAUGAAGAACGCAGCGAAAUGCGAUAAGUAAUGUGAAUUGCAGAAUUCCGUGAAUCAUCGAAUCUUUGAACGCACAUUGCGCCCCCUGGCAUUCCGGGGGGCAUGCCUGUCCGAGCGUCAUUUCUGCCCUCAAGCGCGGCUUGUGUGGUGGGCGUGGUCCCCCCGGGGACCUGCCCGAAAGGCAGCGGCGACGUCCGUCCGGUCCUCGAGCGUAUGGGGCUCUGUCACUCGCUCGGGACGGAUCGGCGGAGGUUGGUCACCACCACAGUUUUACCACGGUUGACCUCGGAUCAGGUAGGAGUUACCCGCUGAACUUAAGCAUAUCAAAAAG
rnacentral:rRNA from 1 species